rnacentral:rRNA from 1 species
GAUGAACGCUGGCGGCGUGCUUAACACAUGCAAGUCGAACGGUGAAGCAGAGCUUGCUCUGUGGAUCAGUGGCGAACGGGUGAGUAACACGUGAGCAACCUGCCCCUGACUCUGGGAUAAGCGCUGGAAACGGCGUCUAAUACUGGAUAUGAGCUGCGACCGCAUGGUCAGCAGUUGGAAAGAUUUUUCGGUCUGGGAUGGGCGCACGGUCUAUCAGCUUGUUGGUGAGGUAAUGGCUCACCAAGGCGUCGACGGGUAGCCGGCCUGAGAGGGUGACCGGCCACACUGGGACUGAGAAACGGCCCAGGCUCCUACGGGAGGCAGCAGUGGGGAAUAUUGCACACUGGGCGGAGGCCUGAUGCAGCAACGCCGCGUGGGGGAUGACGGCCUUCGGGUUGUAAACCUCUUUUAGCAGAGAAGGAGCGAAAGUGACGGUACCUGCAGAAAAAGCGCCGGCUAACUACGUG